rnacentral:rRNA from 1 species
GGCUCAGAACGAACGCUGGCGGCGCGUUUAAGCAUGCAAGUCGAGCGGCAAGGGCCUUCGGGCCCUAGAGCGGCGGACGGGUGAGUAACACGUGGACAAUCUGCCCCCCGGCCCGGGAUAGCCCAGGGAAACCUGGAUUAACCUACCGGAUGAGACGGGACCCGCGAUGGCGGGAUCCGGGAAAGGCGCUGCGGCGCCGCCGGGGGAUGAGUCUGCGUCCCAUUAGCUAGACGGCGGGGUAACGGCCCACCGUGGCGACGAUGGGUAGCCGGCCUGAGAGGGUGGACGGCCACAUUGGAACUGAGACACGGUCCAGACUCCUACGGGAGGCAGCAGCUAAGAAUCUUCCGCAAUGGGCGAAAGCCUGACGGAGCGACGCCCGCGUGAACGAAGAAGGCCGUGAGGUUGUAAAGUUCUUUUCGGGAGGGGGAACAACCGUGGCAGGGAAUGGCCGCGGGAUGACGUGAAUCCCGGAAUAAGCCCCGGCUAACUACGUGCCAGCAGCGGC